GUGUGCAGACAAUCCAGGAAGUUUUUGGAGAGCAUUGGGGACAACUUCCUGGUACAAGUGCUGGAGCAGCCAACUAGGGGCCAUGCUCUUCUUGGACGGCUGCUCACAAACAGGGAAGAAUCGGUGAGGAAUGUAGUAGUGGAUGGCAGCUUGGGCAGCAGUGACCACGAGAUGAUUGAGUUCAGGAUCCUGAAGGGAGGAAGGAUGGAGAGCAGCCAAACCCAACAUCCACGCUUCUGAAUGGAUUAAUGAAUUGUAUCAAGUAAAAUGAAGAAGGGUAACUUAAAACACAUCAUCUAUUCAAUGAGAACCAUUUAACGUGUCUGCUCCUAACCUGCAGUAUGGACAAGCAAACAGUGGUAACUUAGCAUUUCUUCAUGCAGGAGAAGCAGCUGUGCCCACCUGAAACCUGAGAUCCUGCUCCUGCCUUCGUUUCAAGGUCAUUUGCAUCAUCACCAAUCCUCACAGGAGAUGAGAAGCUUCAUACCAGCUAUGAGCUGCCUGCCCAGAGGAGUUUUCCAUCUAUUGACUCCUCUGUGAAAUAUGAACUUUCAUUUCUACCCAGAACUUUUUACAAUCUUUUCUCUAAUGCCUGGUGAAGGGUGUGUUGUGCCCAAAAGCUUGCAAUUAAAAAAAUUUCUUUGCAAAAAUC